rnacentral:rRNA from 1 species
GUCUAUGGCCAUGCCAUCCUGAAAAAGCUUGAUCAUGUCUGAUCUCGGAAGCUAAGCAGAGUCAGGCGUGGUUAGUACUUGGAUGGGAGACCACCUAGAAAGAACAGGUGCUGUAGGCG